AUGAGCCCUUAAAAAUAAAGCUAGACAAACAAGUUGUUUUCCUAGCAGGAAUUAAAAACAAAGGAUGUAAGUGCAUGCUCCAUUCCUGGAACAGCUCAUCUCCUCCCAGUCAUAGUCACCUGAAAAAAUAUGAAUUUCUGAAAAUACAUGCUUCAGCUCUAUUAAUAUCUGUCAUUGUUUGGAGCAAAGCCAAGUGACAAGAAGGAAGCGUUUAUUAGUAUCAACAUGUAACCCUAUGUAGAAGACCAAUGCACUCUCUAUAAAUCCCAAAACUGAGACAAAAGCUGAAUUGUAACUUCAUUGGCAAAUAAAGCAUAUAUUUAUUUUUCU